rnacentral:misc_RNA from 1 species
UUGGUAGUACACUACU